AGAGUUUGAUCCUGGCUCAGGAUCAACGCUGGCGGCGUGCCUAACGCAUGUAAGUCGAACGCAGCACCUUCGGGUGCUGAGUGGCGAACGGCUGAGGAACACGUACGAACCUGCCCUCUCGUGGGGAAUAACGCCGCGAAAGCGGUGCUAAUACCGCGUACGCUGGGGCUUCGGCCUCAGGAAAGUCUUUGGACGCGGGAGGAGGGGCGUGCGGCCCAUCAGGUUGUUGGUGGGGUAAUGGCCUACCAAGCCGGUGACGGGUAGCUGGUCUGUGAGGACGAUCAGCCAGACUGGGACUGCGAAACGGCCCAGACACCUACGGGUGGCAGCAGCGAGGAAUCUUCCACAAUGGGCGCAAGCCCGAUGGAGCAACGCCGCGUGGAGGACGACGGCCUUCGGGUUGUAAACUCCUUUCGGGGGGGAGGAUACGGACAGUACCCCCAGAAGCAGCCCCGGCUAACUCUGUGCCAGCAGCCGCGGUAAUACAGAGGGGGCAAGCGUUGUCCGGAAUUACUGGGCGUAAAGCGCGCGCAGGCGGUGGUCUAUGUGCCGUGUGACAGGCGGGGGCUCAACCCCCGGUUCGCAGGGUAGACAGGACGACUGGAGGCAGGGAGAGGGAUGUGGAAUGCCCGGUGGAGCGGUGAAAUGCGUAGAGAUCGGGCGGAACACCGCGGCGAAGGCGGCAUCCUGGCCCUGUACUGACGCUGAGGCGCGAGAGCGUGGGGAGCGAACUGGAUUAGAUACCCUAGUAGUCC
rnacentral:rRNA from 1 species